rnacentral:lncRNA from 1 species
UAAGUCCUGGCCAAUCAGUGAAAUCCUGACUGUUUGGUGAGACGUGUCAGGAAUGCCUUGUUCCUUCCCCUGAGGUUGCUCGGCUGGUGAUGCUGACAGAGCCAGACUGCUGUCAUGAGGAAAAUGCCUGAAUGUGAAGCAAGCAGAAGCAGGAUCAAGAACCACAGACAGAGGCCUGAUGGGGCUCGUUGAACCCCUGCAGCCAGCUGCUCUUAAUUACCCAAUUCAUGAAUACUAAAAGAGCGAUGCAACGUGACUGGCUUUGAGAAUGGAUGGAAGGAGCCAAGAGCCAAGGAAUGCAGGCAGCUUCCAGAAGCUGGAAAAGGCGCGCACUCUCCCUAAAGGUUCCAGGAAGGAAUGCAGCCCUGCGGACCCAUACUGGACUCCUACCUACAGAACUGUAAGCCACCAAAAGCAAUUUCCUAAUACAGAAAGAUGUCAAAAGUUUCUAGAAGGAUCCCACAGUGUUAUCUCUGUGAAAUGGAAAUGGGGGUGGGAGAUGAAAGGGAAGUGUUUUAUAACAUUUUAAACAACAAAUAUAUAUUAUGUUCAUUAGUUUGAAAAACUAAUUUUAAACAUGUUUAAGAAUAGAACCUGACAAAUAUCUAAGAAUCACAGGUAUUGUAACCCACCCAGGAGACUCCAAAUAGGGCUGCUUUACACAUCUAACAGGGCAGCAUCAAUUUGGUCUCUGAGGAAUUCAGCAUCUGAAUUGUCUUAUUUAACACAAGGAGUCAGCCCCUCAGCCAGCACACCCCACUGCACACCACAUACCCAGUUAAACCAGGAUCCCACCAGAAGGCUUUCCCCUACCGUCCCCUGCAGGAGCCAGGACAGAACUCUCAGACAUGUUCUUAGAGCUGAUUUUGGAGACAGGGCUGGGGAGGCACUGAAGAGAAGCCAGAAUAGUAAUUGGCCUGCGAUUACAAUUUAGCAUACUUUUCAAUAGAAACCCAACAAAUUGCCAACAAAUUGCUAUGCUAAUGAAGAAUUGCCCUGCUCUGCAAUGAGCAUUUAUCAUGAGAGAAAGGACAACCCAUUCACGCCACUCUGUAGAACUAGCUGCCAUUCGGGAGGUCUCCUGCUGAAUUUUAAAAGGCUUCACGUAGGGAAAAGGGGAAAGCAUGAGAUGAGAGUUGGCUGUGUUCUCUCCAGUCUUUCUCUUAUCCAGUGCUUAAGAUACAAUGCCAGGGAGCAAGUUGGUGUAGCGUGCCUGCCAAUUGUGGCUUUCUACUAAUGAAUGCCCAGCACAGAGGCUACAUGCAGUAGAGUCAUCAAGAAGUUCAAGAAGUUUUUAAAAAAGAAAAAUAUCUGCACUCCCCCCAACUUCCAUAACUGACAAAUAAGCAAAUGGUGGUUCUCACAUUGAACACACACCUUUUCUAAAUUCUCUUUGCUUUACUUGGACAAGAAAAGUAAGUCUGACACAUUCUGCCAAGCUUAGGGAAAAGACAGUCCACUUGGCUACAUACAGAAUUCUUUGAUCUGUCUCAAAGUGAUGUCUCAGAGGGAAAUGCCCAGAGGACAAUGCCAACAGAUCAACACAGCCCAAACCACUUCACUGCUGUUUCACCUGCCAUUCAUCAGGCGUGAUGGGGAGAGAGAGGAACAGCCAUCUGUUCCACACACACUUCUCCUUCAAACUAACAGGAAAUUUAUAUUUUGAUUUUCUUUAUCCCCCUUCCUUUCCACCUUCCUCUUCUUAGUCCAAAAAGGAUAUGGCAUACAAAAAAUUAGCUGGGCAUGGUGGCUACUGUAAUCCCAGCUACUCAGGAGGCUGAGGCAGGAGAAUUGCUUGAACCUGGGAGGCAGAGGUUGCAGUGAGCCAAGAUCGCCCCACUGCACUCCAGCCUGGGCAACAGGGCAAGACUCCUCAAAAAAAAAAAAAAAAAGAUAUGGCUAGAGGGGUGAAGAAAAAUACCAAGGCAGAGGCCUAGUCCAAAGUAAAAUGUUUAAGGGAUCUUAACAAUAUUGUAAUGAUCAGUUGCUUAACUGUGUGACAGAAAUACUAAUAGUAAUUUGAGUAACAUGACAAAACAUACAACGCAUUUACCUAAAUACAGCUCUCAAUCUUUAUAACUUGUGACAUGUAUAAGGCAGAUAUUUUGCCUUGUUUUACUGAUGAAAGAAAGAGAAUAAACAUGUCAUUCUUA